CAGUCACAAAAAGCAUCUAUCAACAAAAGCUGAAGUUCCCUGCAGCGGGAAAAGUAGAGAAGGAUAUAAACUUUUGCAUAUUGUGUGUAGAAAGACUGUAAGUCAGGUCAAACAAAGCUCUGAGGAACGACUAGCAAAAGGAAUCCAAACUCACAUUAGAUCUUUCUGGAAACAUGUCAGGAACCUGGCAGUGGUUCUGAAGGACGAUCUGUGGGGGGGCUGUGUGAGGACCCCACGGGGGAGGUAAGGCCACUGCAGACAUCUCUGCACCUGUGUGAAGUGCUGAGUGGCAAGACCAAGGUGCAGAACCUAUUCUUCAGCGGGGUGGGGUGCGCCAGCUGGAGCAGCGGUGGAAAAGGCUGAUCACACUGACAAAGCGAACAGUAGCAGCUUGCUGGGAGCAGUGGCUUUUGUCCAAGAGUCUUAAAGGAACUGAAGGAAAAAAUAGCUGAGCUGCUCCAAGCAGUGUGUAACCCGCGCUUACCACCGCCGUGGUACCUGAGGAGGGGGAAGUGAUGAACGUGAUGCCAGUUUGUAAAGACUCUGCAUGGGCUCAAGGGGGGAGUAGACAGCUUAAUGGAAAAUAAACCUGCACAGGGUGACUAACCCACAGAAACCACAUCCCGUCAGGAAGCCCCUGACCUGGAAGUGUUUGAAGGCGGGAGGAGUAUUAAUGAGAAGUUGGACACGUUUGCCUUGUUCAUCCUGAGCUCUCCCUGAGAAGGGGAGAGGAGGAGGCUGGAGGAGGAGAAGCCAGGGGGAAAUCAAAUGCUUGUGGUGAGGAAUGAGUGAAGAGGGGGAGAGGAUAAGGUAAAAACAUAACCCAGAAACUUACGAGGGGUCACAGAGCACAGCAUCUGCAGCAGUACCCACUGCUUCCUGAAGGCAUCUGAGGGUACCAGGUGGUGGGUGAUGCCCUGUGAUCCUCUGCAUAGAGUAGCUGCACGAGGGAAUAGAAACAGGCUGUGCAAUCACCAGGAAGACCCCUGCAGUCAAACAUCCUCCUCCCAGAGCUGCAGGGGGACACUUUGGUCAGGGGAAGGUGCUGCAAGAGGUUCUGGGACUUGUGUGGGCUUCAGACGAAGAUUGCAUGAAUAAAAAGACGAGAGAACAGCUUGAAAAAAAUAGCCUGGCCUUUACUUGAAGACCUUGAGAGACAGUCUACCACUUUCACUGACAGAUGGCUAGGACAACCAUCCUGCUGGUUACGGUGCCCCCCAUACUCUGUAUUUUCUGGGGUGUGACUGAGAGGUACCUGGCCAGUAAUGCCUCGGGGUGCCCCUGUAAGGUGUUUUUCUGACCUUCUGAAUUGGUCCCGGCAUUUUGCUCUGGACCACCUCCAAGCUUUCAAGAAAAUACCCCCCCGGUGUGGGUGCCUGCGCUGCUGAUGGGCAUUGCAGCUUCAGGCUUUGCUGGACUUCCAGCUCAGAGCUGGCAAUCACAGGUGACAGUGACUUCUCCAGUGGUGGCCAGUGAAGUUCCUGCUCUCGGCAGCUUGUCCUGGCUGCCCAGGAGGCAGCUGUCACAGACCAAUCGUUCCCGGGGGCGCCUGAAGCCAGCAGGCAGUACCGAAACCUUCCGUGAGUCCUGCUCUGCAGCACCAACCUCCUCCUGCCCUGGCACCCAGGGUCCCUUGGAGCUCCUGUGCCUGGGUCCCAGCUGGUUCCCCCGUGUGGGGCUGAGCCCACCCGUCCAGCGGCCGUGGGGUCACACCGUAGGCUCGGCUGCCCGGCUCGCUGCGGGACGUGCGCGGGCAGGAGCGGCCCCUGGGACUGACUAUUGACCCGUAACGCCUCAGAAAUGAAGAGGAAAUGGUACAAGCCCGAAGUGCCUCCACCGGCAGCUGCGCCCUGCCCCUGGUCACUCUUCGGUGUUCCCACAGGUCGGGCAACCUGGUGGGGCUUGGGAGCCAGCAGCCCUGCAGCGGCGGUGGCCCUGCCUGAGGAGGCUCCGUGGCCUUGGCCAGCGCCUUGUCCUGUCCGGGCGCAUCCAGCUGGCCGGGGCUGAUGCUGGCCUGAGGGGCUCCCUCCGCUUCAGCCACUGGUCUCGCCCUCUGCAAGUUUUGCCAACAGCAUUUCUUACAGCUGUAUCUCCUGAUGCCUCUACUGAACAGCACGGCUCUGGCAGAGGCCCACACUUUCAGCAGUGAUCGCUGCUUCUUGUUGGAGAAGGAACGUUUGCCAUUUGUCUGUCUUCUAGUAAUUAAUCCAUAUAAUGUGAAUGAUGAUGUAUACACACAUGACUAUUUUUCCUUCAGAAUUUACAGAUUUCUUGGUUUGUUAAAUCUCCACCUGUGCUUUUAUCAGCUGAAUGUAUUAUUUCGUCAAAGAAUGAGGUCAGGUUUGUUUCUCACAACAUUUUUUUCUUUUGAAACAUACUAAAUAAUUAACAUUG